ACCCUUUCUUGGUUCAUAAGUGUGGUGAUUGGUUGUUCAUGCCAUAAUAUGACAUGUACCUCUCACAAACCUUAUCAUGUUGGCGUAUUUCCACUUGAGG